CCAAGGUUCGAUUCGAGCGCAGCGAGAAAGCGUUGCCGCAGGCAACGACCCGAAGGGCGAAGCGCGCAGCGCUGAGU
rnacentral:sRNA from 1 species